AGUAAGAAAAUGUGUUCUUGUAAUUGUUGGGUUCAUCCCUGUGUGGAGCGUGCUUCCCCAACGGCUCUGAAAUUACAGCAAUGGAUCUUGGAAGGUAUGGCUAUCCGAUAGCUGUUAAAAAAUAUGACUGUUGCUGUUUAUAACCGUUUUAAAAAGCAAUGGCGACCGUUUUAAAAAGCAGUUACCAUUGCUGUAUAUUCAUCUCUUAUAAAUGGCAGCGAGACUGUUCUUGUGGAUUAGCAAGGGCUUGUGUUCUUCCUCUUCCGUCAAUGUUUUCUUUGUCUUCUUUUUUUUUGUGAGUGUCUUUUCUUGGAGUUUUAUGUUUGUUUUGUCAGUGUCUUUCCUUGGAGUUUUAUGUUUGUUUUGUUUUUUUAAGGAUUUUCCAUGUUUUCUGAUAAGGGUUUUGUACUAUUCUUCUUCUGUGAUUUGUUUUGUUGGGUUGUUUUUCUAUUUUACAGAGGAAGAUGGAAGGCAAGCUGAUUCCAUCUCCAAUUUCCUUCCGCAUUGUGGGUUGAAUGAAAGGCAAGCAGUUAAGAGAGAGGAGGUUGGCCUGCUCAUCCGCAUUGUGAGUUGAAUGACAAAGCUACCGGGGAGGGAGGAAGAUACACGCUGAAGGCUCUGCGCUUAAUCUCAGUCUCAGUCGCAUCUACAUUCAGUGUCUGACAGGCUGAGCCAGUGUACAAAAAUGCUUGGAAGCUCCAAUAGGUAGCUGCUGAAGUCAACUAAUGAAUGCAAUUUACAAAAUUUUAGAAAAAUGUUUUAAAUAUUGAAUGGAUUAAAAUUGGUAAAAAUGUUGCAUUUUUUAAUCAAUUGUUAAAAUUGGUGUAAAUGUAAUUUGUAAAUUGAGGUUAGUAUCUAAAACUGAAGAAGAUGUUGAAUCACUAAAUGUAAUAUGUAAAUUGAGACAAUGUCUAUCCAUUAUUGUAAAUUGAUAUGUAAACUAAUUUAUUAUUCAAUACCAUUAUUCUUAUUUGGGAGGGGUUGAA